rnacentral:rRNA from 1 species
ACGGCGAGUGAGCGGGAAGAGCUCAAAUUUGAAAUCUAGUAGCCUUCGGCUGCUCGAGUUGUAAUCUAGAGAAGUGUUUUCCGUGCCGGCCCAUGUACAAGUCCCUUGGAACAGGGCGUCAUAGAGGGUGAGAAUCCCGUCCUUGACAUGGACCCCCGGUGCUCUGUGAUACACUUUCAACGAGUCGAGUUGUUUGGGAAUGCAGCUCAAAAUGGGUGGUGAAUUCCAUCUAAAGCUAAAUAUUGGCGAGAGACCGAUAGCGAACAAGUACCGUGAGGGAAAGAUGAAAAGCACUUUGGAAAGAGAGUUAAACAGUACGUGAAAUUGUUGAAAGGGAAACGAUUGAAGUCAGUCAUGCUCUUUGGUAUUUAUAUCAUUGAGUGGGGUCAACAUCAGUUUUGAGCGAUGGAUAAAGGCACUAGGAAGGUAGCACUCUCGGGUGAACUUAUAGCCUAGCGUCAUAUACAUUGUUUGGGACUGAGGAACGCAGCAUGCCUUUAUGGCCGGGAUUCGUCCACGUACAUGCUUAGGAUGUUGACAUAAUGGCUUUAAACGACCCGUCUUG